CCAAUCCAGGAGAAACUCUGAACAUUCAGAUUGGAGACGAAGAUAACAUUAAUGAGCAUGGAAUUCAUUUCAUAGUCACUUUGUUUACUCCAUGCUCAUAUGAAACAUCUUCCCAAUCUAUUGGUCUAUCCAACAUCACCACAAUUGAGAUCUUCAACCCCCUCUUCCUUUCUAUUUAUAAAAACAUUAAAAGGGCAGUUGUCGAUGCAUAUGUCUAUCAUAAAUAUUGCAGAUCUCGUUGAGUUGAUCUUGAUAUAGGUCAGCGUUGAAAGGGAAACCACUUCGCCGACAUAAAUUGAUGGUUUCCAAGGACUAGCUUAGUGUCCUAAAAUAAGCAC
rnacentral:lncRNA from 1 species